GAUGAACGCUGGCGGCAUGCCUAAGACAUGCAAGUCGAACGAAGUGACCCAUUGAAGUGGAGUGCUUGCACAAAGCGGAAAUGGAUUUUCACUUAGUGGCAGACGGGUGAGUAACACGUGGGUAACCUACCUCAGAGACUGGGAUAACAGUUAGAAAUGACUGCUAAUACCGGAUAAUUUAUAAGAAGGAUGCUUUUUAUACUAAAAGGAGCUUCGGCUUCACUUUGAGAUGGGCUUGCGGUGUAUUAGAUAGUUGGUGGGGUAAUGGCCUACCAAGUCAACGAUGCAUAUCCGAGCUGAGAGGCUGAUCGGACACACUGGGACUGAGACACGGCCCAGACUCCUACGGGAGACAGCAGUUAGGAAUAUUCGUCAAUGGGGGAAACCCUGAACGAGCAAUGCCGCGUGAGUGAUGAAGGCCCUAUGGGUUGUAAAACUCUGUUAUUUGGGAAGAAUGGCUAGUAUAGGAAAUGAUGCUAGUUUGACGGUACCUUAUCAGAAAGCCCCGGCUAACUACGUGCCAGCAGCCGCGGUAAUACGUAGGGGGCGAGCGUUAUCCGGAUUUAUUGGGCGUAAAGCGUGUGUAGGCGGUUUGUUAAGUAUAAGAUUAAAGCCUGAGGCUCAACCUCAGUUCGUCUUAUAAACUGGCAGACUUGAGUGUGGUAGAGGCAAGUGGAAUUUCUAGUGUAGCGGUUAAAUGCGUAGAUAUUAGAAGGAACACCAGUGGCGAAGGCGGCUUGCUGGGCCAUUACUGACGCUGAGACACGAAAGCGUGGGGAGCAAAUAGGAUUAGAUACCCUAGUAGUCCACGCCGUAAACGAUGAGUACUAAGUGUCGGGAAACCGGUGCUGAAGUUAACACAUUAAGUACUCCGCCUGAGUAGUACGGUCGCAAGGCUGAAACUCAAAGGAAUUGACGGGCACCCGCACAAGCGGUGGAGCAUGCUGUUUAAUUCGAAGAUACGCGAAGAACCUUACCUAGACUUGACAUCCCCGGCAAAGCUAUAGAAAUAUAGUGGAGGUUACCCGGGUGACAGGUGGUGCAUGGUUGUCGUCAGCUCGUGUCGUGAGAUGUUCGGUUAAGUCCGAUAACGAGCGCAACCCUCGUCAUUAGUUACUAACAGUUCGGCUGAGGACUCUAAUGAUACUGCCGGUGACAAACCGGAGGAAGGUGGGGAUGACGUCAAAUCAUCAUGCCCCUUACGUCUAGGGCUACAGGCGUGCUACAAUGGCCGAUACAAAAAGACGCGAUACCGUGAGGUGGAGCAAAUCUCAAAAAUCGGUCCCAGUUCGGAUUGGAGUCUGCAACUCGACUCCAUGAAGUUGGAAUCGCUAGUAAUCCUGAAUCAGAAUGUCAGGGUGAAUACGUUCCCGGGUGUUGUACACACCGCCCGUCACGCUAUGGGAGUCUGUAAUACCCGAAGUUGGUAGCCUAACCUUUUAGGAGGGGGCCAACGAAGGUAGGACAGGUGACUGGAGUGAAGUCGUAACAAGGUAUCCCUACCGGAAGGUGGGGAUGGAUCACCUCCUUUCUAUGGAGAAAGAUAAAACCGUAUCUAACUUUAAUGAAUAACUGUGUUUUGCUUAGUUUUGAGAGAUCAUUUCAAAAAAUCUCUCAAGAAUAGUUCUUUGAAAACUGGAUAAUGUGGUAGUGAUAUAUCAAAAGAGCCCCUUUUUCUCUUAGGAAAAGGAAAACUGUCGGAUAUAUCACAUUAAAAUAUCUCAAUCAUAUUAGGAAAAAAUAACGAAAAAAAAUGGUGAUUAAAUUGCUAAGGGCACAUGGUGGAUGCCUUGGCACUAGAAGCUUAAGAAGGACGUGACUAACUACGAUAUGCUUCGGGGAGCGGUAAGUACGCUUUGAUCCGGAGAUUUCCGAAUGGGGGAACCCACCUAUGGUAAUGCGUAGGUAUCGUUAACUGAAUACAUAGGUUAACGAAAGCAACCCGGUGAACUGAAACAUCUUAGUAACCGGAGGAAGAGAAAGAAAAAUCGAUUUCCUUAGUAGUGGCGAGCGAAACGGAAACAGCCCAAACCAGAUUUAUCUGGGGUUGUAGGACUUUCUAUUAAGAGUAAGAAAAUGAUUGUAUAGUUGAAUUCGAUGGGAAGCGAAGCGACACAAGGUGAUAGCCCUGUAAACGAAAUACAAACAUCUCUUGAAAGUAUCCUGAGUACGGCGAGACACGUGUAAUCUUGUCGGAAGCAGCGGGGACCAUCCCGCAAGGCUAAAUACUCUCUAGUGACCGAUAGUGAACA
rnacentral:rRNA from 1 species